rnacentral:rRNA from 1 species
UACAGAGGGGGCAAGCGUUGUUCGGAAUUACUGGGCGUAAAGGGCGCGUAGGCGGCCUCUUAAGUCGAACGUGAAAUCCCCGGGCUCAACCCGGGAACUGCGUCCGAUACUGGGAGGCUUGAAUCCGGGAGAGGGAUGUGGAAUUCCAGGUGUAGCGGUGAAAUGCGUAGAUAUCGGAAGGAACAUCAGUGGCGAAAGCGGCUUCCUGGACCAGCACCGACGUUCAGGCACGAAAGCGUGGGGAGCAAACAGG